AAUCACAAAUGCAGAAUUUAACUAAGG
rnacentral:piRNA from 1 species